UACGUAGGGUGCAAGCGUUAAUCGGAAUUACUGGGCGUAAAGCGUGCGCAGGCGGCUAUGCAAGACAGAUGUGAAAUCCCCUGGCUUAACCUGGGAACUGCAUUUGUGACUGCAUGGCUAGAGUGCGGCAGAGGGGGAUGGAAUUCCGCGUGUAGCAGUGAAAUGCGUAGAUAUGCGGAGGAACACCGAUGGCGAAGGCAAUCCCCUGGGCCUGCACUGACGCUCAUGCACGAAAGCGUGGGGAGCAAACAGG
rnacentral:rRNA from 1 species